UGCCCAGACUCCUACGGGAGGCAGCAGUGGGGAAUAUUGCACAAUGGGGGAAACCCUGAUGCAGCAACGCCGCGUGAGUGAAGAAGUCAUUCGUGAUGUAAAUCUCUAUCAGCAGGGAAGAAAAUGACGGUACCUGAGUAAGAAGCCCCGGCUAACUACGUGCCAGCAGCCGCGGUAAUACGUAGGGGGCAAGCGUUAUCCGGAUUUACUGGGUGUAAAGGGAGCGUAGACGGCUGCGCAAGUCAGAAGUGAAAGCCCGGGGCUCAACCGCGGGACUGCUUUUGAAACUGUGUAGCUAGAGUGCAGGAGAGGUAAGUGGAAUUCCUAGUGUAGCGGUGAAAUGCGUAGAUAUUAGGAGGAACACCAGUGGCGAAGGCGGCUUUCUGGACUGUAACUGACGUUGAGGCACGAAAGUGUGGGGAGCAAACAGGAUUAGAUACCCUUGUAUA
rnacentral:rRNA from 1 species